rnacentral:rRNA from 1 species
GGGUAGUUACCACUUGGGAAUUUUGCCUUGGAGUGGGGGAUAACAUUCGGAAACGGAUGCUAAUUCCCCAUAUUUUUUUGAACCGCAUGGGUUUUAAACGAAAAGACGGCUUCGGCUGUCGCUUUUUAGAAUGAUCCCCGCGGCGUAUUAGUUAGUUGGUGGGGUAAAGGCCUACCAAGACCAUGAUACGUAGCCGACCUGAGAGGGUGAUCGGCCACACUGGGACUGAGACACGGCCCAGACUCCUACGGGAGGCAGCAGUAGGGAAUCUUCCACAAUGGGUGAAAACCUGAUGGAGCAAUGCCGCGUGAAUGAAGAAGGUCUUCGGAUCGUAAAGUUCUGUUAUUAGAGAAGAACAAGUCAAGGAGUAACUGUCUUGACUUUGACGGUACCUAACCAGAAAGUCACGGCUAACUACGUGCCAGCAGCCGCGGUAAUACGUAGGUGACAAGCGUUGUCCGGAAUUAUUGGGCGUAAAGGGAGCGCAGGCGGUUGGAAUAGUCUGAUGUGAAAGCCCACGGCUUAACCGUGGAAGGUCAUUGGAAACUGUCCAACUUGAAUACAGAAGAGGUAAGUGGAAUUCCAAGUGUAGCGGUGAAAUGCGUAGAUAUUUGGAGGAACACCAGUGGCGAAGGCGACUUACUGGUCUGUAAUUGACGCUGAGGCUCGAAAGCGUGGGUAGCAAACAGGAUUAGAUACCCUGGUAGUCCACGCCGUAAACGAUGAGUGCUAAGUGUUAGGGGGUUUCCGCCCCUUAGUGCUGGAGUUAACGC